rnacentral:tRNA from 1 species
GGUGAUGUAGCUCAAUGGUAGAGCACUUGCCUAACAUGUGAGAGGCUCUGGGUUUGAUCCCCAUCACCA